GUGCUAUCCUAUUCUCACUUCAGUAGCACGUAUACUGAAAUUGAAAUGAUACAAAGAUUGCAUGGCCCCUGCGCAAGGAUGACCCAAAGCUUGCUGCCCAAGGAAAGCCAUCU
rnacentral:snRNA from 1 species